rnacentral:rRNA from 1 species
CCUACGGGAGGCAGCAGUAGGGAAUCUUCCACAAUGGGCGAAAGCCUGAUGGAGCAACGCCGCGUGGGUGAAGAAGGUCUUCGGAUCGUAAAACCCUGUUGUUAGAGAAGAAAGUGCGUGAGAGUAACUGUUCACGUUUCGACGGUAUCUAACCAGAAAGCCACGGCUAACUACGUGCCAGCAGCCGCGGUAAUACGUAGGUGGCAAGCGUUAUCCGGAUUUAUUGGGCGUAAAGGGAACGCAGGCGGUCUUUUACGUCUGAUGUGAAAGCCUUCGGCUUAACCGGAGUAGUGCAUUGGAAACCGGGAGACUGGAGGGCAGAAGAGGAGAGUGGAACUCCAGGUGUAGCGGUGAAAUGCGUAGAUAUAUGGAAGAACACCAGUGGCGAAAGCGGCUCUCUGGUCUGUAACUGACGCUGAGGUUCGAAAGCGUGGGUAGCAAACAGGAUUAGAUACCCGAGUAGUC